UACGUAGGUCGCAAGCGUUGUCCGGAUUUACUGGGCGUAAAGGGCGCGUAGGCGGUCGUGACAAGUCACUUGUGAAAUCUCCGGGCUUAACUCGGAACGGUCAAGUGAUACUGUCGGACUAGAGUACAGAAGGGGCAACUGGAAUUCUCGGUGUAGCGGUGAAAUGCGUAGAUAUCGAGAGGAACACCUGCGGCGAAGGCGGGUUGCUGGGCUGAUACUGACGCUGAGGCGCGAAAGCCAGGGGAGCGAACGGG
rnacentral:rRNA from 1 species